GCUUACGGCCAACCGGCCUGAGUACGCCUGAUCUCGUCCGAUCUCGGAAGCUAAGCAGGGUCGGGCCUGGUUAGUACUUGGAUGGGAGACCGCCUGGGAAUACCAGGUGCUGUAAGCU
ensembl:rRNA 5S_rRNA 5S ribosomal RNA